rnacentral:rRNA from 1 species
UGAGUAACCUGCCCUUAACUCUGGGAUAAGCCUGGGAAACUGGGUCUAAUACCGGAUAUGACUCCUCAUCGCAUGGGUGGGGGGUGGAAAGCUUUUUGUGGUUUUAGAUGGACUCGCGGCCUAUCAGCUUGUUGGUGAGGUAAUGGCUUACCAAGGCGACGACGGGUAGCCGGCCUGAGAGGGUGACCGGCCACACUGGGACUGAGACACGGCCCAGACUCCUACGGGAGCAG